rnacentral:antisense_RNA from 1 species
GUUCUGGGCUUCUGGCUGCAUUCUAGGAAGAUCAUUCCUUAAAAGAAAUAGCCAUAUGGCUUAUAAGGCUGGAGUGCAAUGGUGUGAUCUCGGCUCACUGCAACCUCUGCCUCCCAGGUUCAAGUGAUUCUCCUGCCUCAGCCUCCCAAGUAGCUGGGAUUACAGUGUUCUUUCCUGUAUGAAGCCCAAGCUGUCCACAUGGAGAGACAUCUGGCCAGCCCCCCGUUGUUCCAGCCAUCCCCAGUUCAGGUACCAGACAUGUGGUGAAGAAGCCAUCCUAGAUGCCCAGCCCCAGCUACCAUCUGAUGCAACUACACUGCUCACCCCGAGCGAGAACUGCCUACAGGAGCCUAGUAUUAUUCUCUCUGACAGAACCAUGGCAGGGAAUAAU